AACCAAUGAUGUUAAUGAUUCUGCCAAAUGAAAUAGAAUGAUAUCACUUAUAAAACCGUUCCAUUUUGAUACUGAGGUU
ensembl:snoRNA